UAAUACCGGAUGCUUGAUUGAACCGCAUGGUUCAAUUAUAAAAGGUGGCUUUUAGCUACCACUUACAGAUGGACCCGCGGCGCAUUAGCUAGUUGGUGAGGUAACGGCUCACCAAGGCAACGAUGCGUACCCAACCUGAGAGGGUGAUCGGCCACACUGGGACUGAAACACGGCCCAAACUCCUACGGGAGGCAGCAGUAGGGAAUCUUCCGCAAUGGACAAAAGUCUGACGGACCACCGCCGCGGGAGUGAUGAAGGUUUUCGGAUCGUAAAACUCUGUUGUUAGGGAAAAACAAGUACCGUUCGAAUAGGGCGGUACCUUGACGGUACCUAACCAAAAAGCCACGGCUAACUACGUGCCAGCAGCCGCGGUAAUACGUAGGUGGCAAGCGUUGUCCGGAAUUAUUGGGCGUAAAGCGCGCGCAGGCGGUUUCUUAAGUCUGAUGUGAAAGCCCCCGGCUCACCCGGGGAGGGUCAUUGGAAACUGGGGAACUUGAGUGCAAAAAAGGAGAGUGGAAUUCCACGUGUAGCGGUGAAAUGCGUAAAGAUGUGGAGGACCACCAGUGGCGAAGGCGACUCUCUGGUCUGUAACUGACGCUGAGGCGCGAAAGCGUGGGGAGCGAACAGGAUUAGAUACCCUGGUAGUCCACGCCGUAAACGAUGAGUGCUAAGUGUUAGAGGGUUUCCGCCCUUUUAGUGCUGCAGCAAACGCAUUAAGCACUCCGCCUGGGGAGUACGGUCGCAAGACUGAAACUCAAAGGAAUUGACGGGGGGCCCGCACAAGCGGUGGAGCAUGUGGU
rnacentral:rRNA from 1 species